GACGAACGCUGGCGGCGUGCUUAACACAUGCAAGUCGAACGGUAAGGCCCUUCGGGGUACACGAGUGGCGAACGGGUGAGUAACACGUGGGUGAUCUGCCCUGCACUUCGGGAUAAGCCUGGGAAACUGGGUCUAAUACCGGAUAGGACUCCGGACUGCAUGGUCUGGGGUGGAAAGCUUUUGCGGUGUGGGAUGGGCCCGCGGCCUAUCAGCUUGUUGGUGGGGUGAUGGCCUACCAAGGCGACGACGGGUAGCCGGCCUGAGAGGGUGACCGGCCACACUGGGACUGAGAUACGGCCCAGACUCCUACGGGAGGCAGCAGUAGGGGAUAUUGCACAAUGGGCGCAAGCCUGAUGCAGCGACGCCGCGUGAGGGAUGACGGCCUUCGGGUUGUAAACCUCUUUCAGCAUCGACGAAGCGAAAGUGACGGUAGGUGCAGAAGAAGGACCGGCCAACUACGUGCCAGCCGCCGCGGUAA
rnacentral:rRNA from 1 species